rnacentral:lncRNA from 1 species
ACCGUUGGUCUGGAGAGCGACACCUGAGGGGAUCGACUGGUAAUUAAGUAGAAGAAAUAAGAUAGAAGACUCAAAUGAUCUGAUCACAGAAAAUGGACACAGUGAGCACUGUAGCUCAGGAAUCCUAGCAAAGGGUGAAUUCUGACUUGUCUAGAGCCCCUGGAUUACCACAACCUUGACUGAGGGCAAGUGGAGUGGCAUGGUGGUACGGUGAGUAGCGCUGCUGUCUCACAGCCGUUGGGUGGUGCGA